rnacentral:rRNA from 1 species
UGACACAUCUGAGAGGUCCAGCCUGCCCAGUGACUAAGUUCAACGGCCGCGGUAUCCUAACCGUGCGAAGGUAGCGUAAUCACUUGUUCUUUAAAUGAGGACUAGUAUGAAUGGCACCACGAGGGUUAUACUGUCUCCUUUUUUUAAUCAAUGAAACUGAUCUCCCCGUGAAGAAGCGGGGAUAAACAUAUAAGACGAGAAGACCCUAUGGAGCUUUAAACAAUCAUAGCACUGGCCCACACUUUUAUCCUUCUGAGACAUAAUUAUUAUACAGGCCAAUAUGACUAUUAGUUUUAGGUUGGGGUGACCGCGGAGCAAAAACCAACCUCCACGUUGAACGGAGCUACUCCUGAGCUGAGAGCCACAACUUUAAGCACCAAUAAAUUGACAUCAAUUGACCCAACAUGUUGAUCAACGAACCAAGUUACCCUAGGGAUAACAGCGCAAUCCAUUUCAAGAGCCCCUAUCGACAAAUGGGUUUACGACCUCGAUGUUGGAUCAGGGUAUCCCAGUGGUGCAGCCGCUACUAAAGGUUCGUUUGUUCAACGAUUAAAACCCU